UACAGAGGGUGCAAGCGUUAAUCGGAAUUACUGGGCGUAAAGCGUGCGUAGACGGUUGCGUAAGUCAGAUGUGAAAGCCCCGGGCUCAACCUGGGAAUUGCAUUUGAGACUGCGUAGCUAGGGUGCGGAAGAGGGAAGCGGAAUUUCCGGUGUAGCGGUGAAAUGCGUAGAUAUCGGAAGGAACACCAGUGGCGAAAGCGGCUUCCUGGUCCAGCACUGAUGUUCAGGCACGAAAGCGUGGGGAGCAAACAGG
rnacentral:rRNA from 1 species